UUCAUUGGGGACGUGUAGGACCACCUGCAGGGCCCGUGAGCCCCAGCGCCUGUGAAGGGCCGCCGACUGACCGCAGCGACCGGCUGCUGAUCUGUGUCAGGGAGCACGGGAGCAGGUUUGGGGGAUCUCUGAACACGGAGGGCGCGGCUAGUGGCACGCCUGAGCUCAUGGUGAGCUUGGCUACGUGGGUGGAUACAGGAAGCUGUGCGGCCGGGUCGGCCGCCCCUGAAUGAGGCGUGUCUGAGGGGUCCUCUCCGCCCCAGCCGGCCAGAGCAUGUGGUCUGGGAAGCAUCUGCCUCCAUCGUGGUCACAGGACGCAAACUGGCCUUGGGAAAGGCGGGGUGGGGUGUGAGAGGGGCGGUGCGCAGGCGUCCUGAGACAGUUAGGUCUUGCUUAGGGGCAGAGGAGGCAGGUCAUAAAACUUGACCCUCCCGUCAGGAAGCCAGAUUCGGUCAGCAGAUCAUCGUGCAGGGUGGCCUGUGUUGUGAGCCCGAGAACUCUGGGUGCAGACUCACUCUCAGGGGAGGUAAACAGCCUGGAGGGCGGUGCCAGUGUCUCCUGGAAGCCAAGGGUCAGUUUGCUUCCUGUCCGGAGUCUUAGAUAUGGCAUCUCCCCCUGGACAAAAGGCAGCUGGCAUCCAGCCCAUCAUAGGGAUCAGGGUUCCCUGGGCUUGGGGUCCCCCCCACUGUGAUGCAGACAGGCAGGAGGGGACGCAUGCACCUGCACCAUUUGCAGGAUUCCACAUUGGCUCAUAGCUCACAGCUCCCGGAGGCCACAGGCUGUUAGGACGCCUGUUCCAGGGUGUCUGGGCAUGGUCAUGUCCAUGGGGAGGCGUGACCUGGCAUCUCCAGUGUCUAUGAGGGAGACGCGGUGGGGACAGGACUUCCCAGCAGGUGCAGUGCUGGCUGUCCCCAUUCUGCCCCCCACGGUUGGUCUUGACGCUUCUCCCAGACUGUGGGGUGAGCGUGGCCCCAGCACACAGGGCACAGACUGAAAGGGUCAGGCAUCCUCAGAGAGCCGUCAGCUCUGACCUCCAGAUGUGGGGGCCUCACAAGGAAAUGAGUGCUCAGUGGUUCAUCUGGGAAAGCAUUGCUGGGAACAGGACUGACACCCACGAGACCGGAGAGUCCCUGAGUCAUCCGUGCAGAUCGAGUUCUCCCUUGGAUCCAGGCGGCAAGUAUCUUCAUGUCUCCAGUGCAUGCUGUUUAAAGUGCUCCUUUCUGCACGUCCCUGAGUUCCUCUCCUUGGACUCUUCCCCUAAGUGAAUCAUUUGGAGUCAGUUGCUGAUGGGGGAAAGCGUCCCGACAGCACAAGUGUGGGGUUUGUCCUGGCGUCUGGAUCCAUGUCGGGUUUUGCAGGACAGAAGACGGCUUGUUUUCCCCUUCUUCAAAUAAAUGGAGAUCUCAUGGGCUGGGGAAGGAGAGGGGCUGAUGCCUGGGCAGGGACCACUCGUGGCUGCCGCAGGCUCAGUGCCCCAACUAUCGCUGGGACUGUCUGUCUGUGUUCACCUUACGAGGACAAGCCACAGUCCUUACGUGGCCCAGGAGCCAGUGUUUCCACUCUGGGCAUGAGGAAGGGUAAGUAUGAAGCCCCAAGCAUGGGUCUGGUCCCUGCUUUGGUCCCUGCUCUCUGCCCCAUUGGCCGCAUUUCAAACCUACCACCUCUGAAGGACACCUUUGGGUCUGGUGGCUGGGUCAGGGCCCUGUCCCCAGGGGCGUGCAUCCUGCAGAAGAGAGGACGAGGACCUCUCCCUGCAGCUCUGACCCAGGCCAGCCCCAUCAGCCUAGGAUGUGGCAGACUCUGGCCAUCACUGUGUCCGUCAACGACAUGUCCCUACAGAGCGUUUCCAUGAUGCGCCACUAGCAGAACUUAGAUUUUACGCUGAGGGAACCAGACUGGGGCUUCUAAUCGGGGGUGGGGACAGCACCGACCUGAAGGAAAUACUCCCGACGACAUGUCGGCAUUAGGUAUCUUUCUAAUUGUGGAGUAAAUCAAAGGCAGAGUCAGAGGAAAUCUCACGACCCGUGGAAAAGCAAACCCCAUGCGCCUCUCCACUCUGGGAUGGCCUGGGAUUCCCGGGCAGGAGCCCAACACUCUUGAAUGGCUGAACUCUGAAGUUCAAGGAUAGACGGGUUCCUGGGCUGAGGUGGCUCUGGGCGAGGAGAACGGGCAGACGGAGAACGGGAAAGUUUCCACGGUGCUGGCUCAUCUGCUGCUUCUCCUGUGGGUGUCCAGGUCCCCCCCGCAAGCAGGCAGGGUGAACACAGGCACCCUGGGAGGGCCCCGGAAGGGAGGCAGAUGUAUAGCAAAGCCUUUCCCAGAGGAUGGCCAGUGGGACACCUGUGCGUCAGCAGGAGGUGGGACUCGGGACUUUCCCAGCAAAGGUUGAGCUCCGUCAAGCUCCCGGGCCCUGGUGCCCGCAGCCAACUCCUCCCCCGGGUCUGCUCCUGGUACCCUGUUCUCCGUCUGCACAUCGGGGAGGGCUCCCAUCGCUCCACCAGUCUCGGCGUGGGCACCGGGCUGCCUCGUUCGUGGUCACAGGAGGCUGACACUGGCGUCGGAGAGACCGGUCCUGGAGGGGAGGCCCGUGCUGGAAGACUGGGGUGUGCAGGAGCCAUUCUGGGGACAACUUACUGCAGUUUAAAGCACUCCUGAUCGUAGAGGAAGGCAAGACGCUUGUCACUAAUGCUGCGCACUGAGUCAGGGGAACUGUUGCUCCGCGAAGCCCAGCAGCAGGGCGGGAACGAAAGGUUUCCUUGGGAAACCCCCAGCAACUUCGUCCAGACCUCCUUCCCGGUGCCCAGUCAGGGCCCAGGCCCAUAAUGGAUGCUGAUUCUCAGCUGCCUCACUGCUCGACCCUGAACGCAUGUCCCCGGAACUAGCCCAUCUCCUGCCGUCAUUCCUGUACACUUGCACACCUUCCUCAAAUGCUGGCUGCCACCAGGGAAGUAGCAAACUGUGAGCCAUCUUUCCUGUGUCUCCAAUGAAGUCGCAUCAUUAGAAACUCCUCCUGUGGGUGCGAAAGUGUGUUUCAUCAGCGUUUCGUAGGAAUUGCUGCAUCCCGCGAUGACGUGCCCAAUUCCUACACACCGCGUGUUCCCAGGAAGACUUCCAUGUCUAUGCAAGUGAGGUUUAACAUGCCAUUGUUCUGGAAUGUGUGAUUUAUUGAUAACAGACUUACUGCUUUUGACCACAUAGAGAAUUUUCAUAAGGUGCCUACUUGGCCUUCUUUUUUCAUCCACAAAGAGAAGAGUUUGUUCAAAUGUAAACACGCAGGAUGAGGAUGCCUUCUUGUUUAUCCUACGAAUUAUUCACUGGAUAUCCAUACAGCACAAAAACUGCUCCACAUCGCCCUUGGCCAUAGGGAUGGGCUCCUGCCUGCAAGGGUCUCGCUGUCUCUCCACCUUCCGGUGCCGGCCCCUUGGCCCUUGCACAGCUCGCGUCCCACUUCCCUUCCUCACCUGGGCACGUUCUCCCCGACCUCCGAGCCACGGCUCAGACACCACCUCCGGGAACGUUGCCAUUGCUACCCAGACUGGACACACUGAUUAGAGGUUUGCCACACUGAACAGUCUGCCUAGAUGGCAGAAUUCUUGAAUUCAGAGCAUGCAUGCCGUUUGCCACUUGAUCAUGGAAAUACAUGUCUUACAAGUAAAUGAAUGUGGGUGUUUCUGAAGUGUACUUUUUAUCGUUUUGAAAUCAUUCAGAUUUGCAGCAAAGUUACAAAAAUAGUUCAAAGAACACGUGUAUGUCUUCGUGGAUAAUUCCCACAUUUGUUCAAUUAUUAAUUCACUCUCUACCCACGUAGUAAUGUACAAGUAUCUAUUAACAUUUUGUAACUUUUUAUUUUGCUGUAAUUGCAAACUGACACAAACACGCAGGAAUUGUACAAAGUUCUUCUGCAUGGCCUCACGCACACCCACCAGCGAGCCGCAGUUCGUCCCAUUGACUGUCUCUCCCGCAUCCUUCCACCCCCACACAAACACAUUUAUACAUUUGUGUAUGUCUGUGCGUAUUGGGUUUGUCUUAAUUUUGUGACAGCGGCCUGGAGUCGUGCUGCUGGCCUGUAACACUUUGGUGAGAAUUGGAUACACACAGGAUGUUCUUUCAAAGAACAACCGAACAAAAUCAGGAUAGGAAACUCUGUUGAUGGAGACCAUUGUGAGUUGUCACUUUGGACACAAAUCUUGAUAACAGUCACUGUAACUGUAUUUCAAGCUACUUUCCCUGGUCCAGGAUCUAAUCAAGAGCCAUAGUCCCAUGUGUCUGGUCCCCUUUAUUCUAGAAGGUCCUGUAGCCUGUCUUCAUCCCCGGGGACAUGACACUUGGGAAUAGGGCAGCUCAUCUAUCUCACAGAACGUCAGUUUGGGUCUGCGUAUUGCUUCAUCCUGAUAGAUUUCCUGAGCACUUUGUCAGUGAGGCCUCGGGAGGGAUGCGGUGCCCUUCUCUGGGCAUCUCAGUGAGCAGAGAUGCCCGCCUGACUCCACUACCAUGUCAUGGGUGCAAAGUGGUAAUUCUCUGCAAGCUGGCUUCUGCCAUAAGGUGAGGGAUCCUCGUCUUCCUUUGGCUUUGUGUGUGCACAUACACAUCUGGGGAUGUGAAGGGCGGACAGGCCCUCUUCCUGGGGCGCUCACCGCCUGGUUCUGGGUCUGGACUCUGUGCUGAUCGGCACCUUCAGUACUCUCAGGAAGUGUCCACAAUGUUUACUGUUCUCAUUGUACAGAUAAAGAGACUGACCUGUUAAGAACCCGCUCUCACAGAAAUAAUUUUAUAAAUAGCAAAACCAGAAUUCAAGCCAGGAGCUCCUAAGCCCAGAACCCAGGCCUGUCAGUUCUGUAGCAGGUGGACUUCUGUGGGUGGUAAGGGACGGAAAUCCACCUGGAACCAGCCUUGGCAGAAAAGAGGACACUGGGGGUCCCCUCCAUCCAGGCGAGUGAUGAAAGUACUGGUCAGGUGGAAAAAUCCUCCUGCUCCUCCCAGAAACAUGGUCAGGUGAGGGAAGACAUCGGCUGGAUUAUAGGAUGAAAGCUUGAUUUCUGACCAGACAAGGGUGACAGCCUGCAGAGAAGUUUGGACCAGCCCCCUUGGUGCACGAAACAGCAAGGCCAGUGCCUACCAUCCUUCCGUGUGGGGUGUUUGCAGAGCAGCUGAUCCCAAGCUGCGGAGUUCACAUGUGUGGCUCUUUCUACAGCUCUAGACGCACCAGUGAGCCAUGAAGAAAAAACUCAGCUAUAAAAAGAAAGACAACCCACU